rfam:Myotis brandtii contig206990, whole genome shotgun sequence.
GCUCUGGUGGCUCAGUGGGUUGAGCGUUGCCCCAUGGACCAAGAGGUCCUGGGUUCGAUUCCCAGUCAGGGCA